AAGCAAACAAUGAAUGGAAGAGGUUAGAAGUCUUCCUUUGCAGAGAGCCUGGUUGCUGAAAACAGGUAAGGAAGUUCUAACUACACACCCAGGAGUUAAUAGAUCAAAGUCUAUUCGUGUUCGAGCGUUACAUCGAAGUGUUAUUAAACAUGAAGAGUUAAGUAUUGUGAAAUACUUGAGAAAAAAGGUGGUACCACGCCACAGCGUCCUUUUC
rnacentral:ncRNA from 1 species